AUUGAACGCUGGCGGCAUGCUUUACACAUGCAAGUCGAACGGUAACAGGUUAAGCUGACGAGUGGCGAACGGGUGAGCAAUGCAUCGGAACGUGCCCGAUCGUGGGGGAUAACGCAGCGAAAGCUGCGCUAAUACCGCAUACGAUCUGAGGAUGAAAGCGGGGGACCGUAAGGCCUCGCGCGAUCGGAGCGGCCGAUGUCAGAUUAGGUAGUUGGUGGGGUAAGGCCCACCAAGCCGACGAUCCGUAGCUAGUCUGGGAGGACGACCAGCCACACUGGGACGGGGACCCGGCCCAGACUCCUACGGGAGGAAGCAGUGGGGAAUUUUGGACAAUGGGCGAAAGCCUGAUUCAGCAAUGCCGCGUGCAGGAAGAAGGCCUUCGGGUUGUAAACUGCUUUUGUACGGAGCGAAAAGGCCCUUUCUAAUACAGGGGGCUCAUGACGGUACCGUAAGAAUAAGCACCGGCUAACUACGUGCCAGCCGCCGCGGUAAGAC
rnacentral:rRNA from 1 species